CUUUCUCAAGUGAAUCUUUCAGUUGAAACACACCGAUUUCCAUCCACUCCCCCAUCAGCACAAUUGCGGUAUCAGUGCUAGAUCGUGCUUUUUUUUUUACCAUAGAUUUCCUCUCCCUCGGUAUGAGGGAAGCAAAAAACGAGAGACGACUACCUAAGAGCCACAGCAAGAUCGUAAAAAAGGAGACCGGAUAGGUGUAAUAGGGGAUGAGGAGGAGAGAAGACAGAGGAGAGGGAAACUCGAAGCAAAGAUUUUACGAUGGCCUCCUCAAACUCACUGGGGAGGAAAAUAUGUGAGGCUUCGAAGUGCUCGGAAACCCGGAAACGCCAUCGAAUACAAUAUUAUACGGAUGUCAGGCGAUAUUUCUGUUUAAAAACGAGACACUACAGGGUAACAGCUGCGUUUCAAUUUGACGUCAUGCAGGCCCACUACCCAUACGGCAUCCAUGAAAAAAUUCAAGUGAAGGAGAAAUGUUGGAAUUGAAAUGAAGGAGGCCCGCAUAUAUCGCGUGACUCCGAUUCCACUGCAAUCGACAACAAUAUGGUUCUAGAGCUGUAACUACUAUGUAUCAUAUGAUCUCCUUGUUUAUCAUACGGGGGAUUGUACAGUUCUUUCAUUGAAACACCACGUUUUAGGGGGGCUGGGUAUCGAAGUAAUGCAGUGUAAUUGCUCGUGUCAUCGGAAUCACGGGGCUUUUUUCCUUAUCGCUUGACGUGAAAUAUUGUUUGAAUAAUAAAUGAAGGGAGAAGGUGUAUCCUGUGAUCGUUAAAACCGAAUCAAAUAUGAAUAGAUUGCGACAGCAGUGGGCGAGUCUUAUUGAGGGUCGUUGUAUUUUUGGUUUAUUUCUCUCUAUUAUUAUCUGGUAUGCGAGAGAAUGGUUAGUAAAAAAAAAAAA